UACAGAGGUGGCAAGCGUUGUUCGGAAUUACUGGGCGUAAAGGGCGCGUAGGCGGCCAUCUAAGUCAGACGUGAAAUCCCCCGGCUUAACCUGGGAACUGCGUCUGAUACUGGACGGCUGGAGUUUGGGAGAGGGAUGUAGAAUUCCAGGUGUAGCGGUGAAAUGCGUAGAUAUCUGGAGGAAUACCGGUGGCGAAGGCGGCAUCCUGGACCAAUACUGACGCUGAGGCGCGAAAGCUAGGGGGAGCAAACGGGG
rnacentral:rRNA from 1 species